rnacentral:rRNA from 1 species
GAUGAACGCUAGCGGCAGGCCUAACACAUGCAAGUCGAGGGGUAGCAGGAUUAAGCUUGCUUAAUUGCUGACGACCGGCGCACGGGUGCGUAACGCGUAUGCAACCUACCUUAUACCGGGGUAUAGCCCGGAGAAAUUCGGAUUAAUCCCCCAUAGUACUAAUGAAUCGCAUGGUUUAUUAGUUAAAGCAUUGCGGUAUAAGAUGGGCAUGCGUCCUAUUAGCUAGAUGGUGAGGUAACGGCUCACCAUGGCUACGAUAGGUGGGGGGCCUGAGAGGGUGGUCCCCCACACUGGUACUGAGACACGGACCAGACUCCUACGGGAGGCAGCAGUGAGGAAUAUUGGUCAAUGGGCGCAAGCCUGAACCAGCCAUGCCGCGUGCAGGAAGAAUGCCCUAUGGGUUGUAAACUGCUUUUAUUUGGGAAUAAACCUCUUUACGUGUAGAGAGCUGAAGGUACCAAAUGAAUAAGCACCGGCUAACUCCGUGCCAGCAGCCGCAGUAA